UCGGGUGAGGUGUUUUGGCUGCAUUCCGGUCUUCCAAACCGAUGGAGCGGGUUCGAUUCCCGCCAUCCGAU
rnacentral:tRNA from 2 species